rnacentral:lncRNA from 1 species
GUCAGAACUCUCUAUUUUAAUUCUGGACCUUUGAAGAGAGGAAAUAUUAAUAUUUUUGAGUGAUAAAAAAUUAGACUUCGACCAUUAAAAGCCUAAAAAUCCCAAACAUAGCAAUUAUACAACAAACAAUGGCUUCAAAGGAAUCUCAGGUUAAAGCAGCUUCCUUCUUGAAAAAGAUCCCUCAAGUUCUGAAAGAAGAGGAAGUGGAAUGAAGAUCCUAACUGGGGGAGGAGUCUUGAAGGGGAAGCAGAGGAGCCAGGAAGAUCUUCAAACUGGAGGGCUAGCUGUCUUGGCCCAUGCCAGCCCAGGGUGCAACUGGUCUCUGGAAGGAAUAGCUCAUGUGGUGAGCACCUGAAAACCAUUCCUAAAACUUACCACCCACUCUCUCGCCUGUGCUGCCUCUGACUUUUAAAUCACGCUUGUUAAUUUCGGUGGAGACUCAGCUGACAAGCAGGAUGUGAUGUACUGUGCAGGGUCAUGAUCACAGAGGUACAAUACCAGGUCAGUGUAAGAUUUUAACAAUGCAGUUAUUUAUGAUUGUUGAGUAUGAGCCGAAUUAAGUAG